UGGGGAAUCUUGGACAAUGGGGGCAACCCUGAUCCAGCCAUGCCGCGUGAGUGAUGAAGGCCUUAGGGUCGUAAAGCUCUUUCGCCUGUGAAGAUAAUGACGGUAGCAGGUAAAGAAACCCCGGCUAACUCCGUGCCAGCAGCCGCGGUAAUACGGAGGGGGUUAGCGUUGUUCGGAAUUACUGGGCGUAAAGCGCACGUAGGCGGAUCAGAAAGUUGGGGGUGAAAUCCCGGGGGCUCAACCCCGGAACUGCCUCCAAAACUCCAUGGUCUAGAGUUCGAGAGAGGUGAGUGGAAUUCCGAGUGUAGAGGUGAAAUUCGUAGAUAUUUGGAGGAACACCAGUGGCGAAGGCGGCUCACUGGCUCGAUACUGACGCUGAGGUGCGAAAGUGUGGGGAGCAAACAGGAUUAGAUACCCUGGUAGUCCACACCGUAAACGAUGAAUGCCAGUCGUCGGGUAGCAUGCUAUUCGGUGACACACCUAACGGAUUAAGCAUUCCGCCUGGGGAGUACGGUCGCAG
rnacentral:rRNA from 1 species